AGGUAAUUGAUCAACGGAUCAAUUUGAAAAAGGAAUCUUGUGUAAAUCAAGAGCUGUAUCUGCAGCUGUAAGCUCUGAAGUUCUUUUCAAAAAAGCCACUGUCCGUCACCCGAUGGAUGGGAAGGUGAAAAGAAUAUGGAGUAAGUCAGAAUACUUGCCUCGAAC
rnacentral:ncRNA from 1 species